rnacentral:rRNA from 1 species
UGGGGAAUAUUGGCCAAUGGGCGAAAGCCUGAUCCAGCCAUGCCGCGUGUGUGAAGAAGGUCUUCGGAUUGUAAAGCACUUUAAGUUGGGAGGAAGGGCAUUAACCUAAUACGUUAGUGUUUUGACGUUACCGACAGAAUAAGCACCGGCUAACUCUGUGCCAGCAGUCGCGGUAAUACAGAGGGUGCAAGCGUUAAUCGGACUUACUGGGCGUAAAGCGCGCGUAGGUGGUUUGUUAAGUUGGAUGUGAAAUCCCCGGGCUCAACCUGGGAACUGCAUUCAAAACUGACUGACUAGAGUAUGGUAGAGGGUGGUGGAAUUUCCUGUGUAGCGGUGAAAUGCGUAGAUAUAGGAAGGAACACCAGUGGCGAAGGCGACCACCUGGACUAAUACUGACACUGAGGUGCGAAAGCGUGGGGAGCAAACA